GGAACUCUUCAAAAUUGCCCGCGAUAAUAACGUAGGAGUACAAAUAUAAAAUUGUCAUUGAUCCGAGAUUGGUGUGCAAACUUUAUUUUGGCGCCACAUCAUGUAACCGUUAUAAACUUAUAAAACAAAAUAUAUGCAGGUUGCCGGGACAGCGAUUUUGUAUAUUGUAUAUAAUAGAUAAGCUCGAAUACCUAAUAAUUAUUGCAUUUUGAAUUUGACAGUAGUAACCUCGAUUUUUAUCUUUCGACAUAAAUCUAUAUUUAAGCACG